rnacentral:rRNA from 1 species
UACGUAUGGAGCAAGCGUUAUCCGGAAUUACUGGGUGUAAAGGGAGCGUAGGCGGCGGGGCAAGUCUGAUGUGAAAACCCAGGGCCCAACCCUGGGAGUGCAUUGGAAACUGUUCUGCUUGAGUACCGGAGAGGCAGGCGGAAUUCCUAGUGUAGCGGUGAAAUGCGUAGAUAUUAGGAGGAACACCAGUGGCGAAGGCGGCCUGCUGGACGGUAACUGACGCUGAGGCUCGAAAGCGUGGGGAGCAA